rnacentral:rRNA from 1 species
UGGGGGGAGUAUUGCACAAUGGGGGGGAACCCGUGAUGCAGCGACGCCGCGUGGGUGAAGAAGCGCCUCGGCGCGUAAAGCCCUGUCAGCAGGGAAGAAAAUGACGGUACCUGAAGAAGAAGCCCGGCUAACUACGUGCC